rnacentral:rRNA from 1 species
GAAAGGGCGCACGGUGAAUGCCUUGGCACUAGGAGCCGAUGAAGGACGGGACUAACACCGAUAUGCUUCGGGGAGCUGUAAGUGAGCUUUGAUCCGGAGAUUUCCGAAUGGGGAAACCCACUGUUCGUAAUGGAACAGUAUCUUUAUCUGAAUACAUAGGAUAUUGAAGGCAGACCCGGGGAACUGAAACAUCUAAGUACCCGGAGGAAGAGAAAGCAAAUGCGAUUUCCUGAGUAGCGGCGAGCGAAACGGAAUUAGCCCAAACCAAGAGGCUUGCCUCUUGGGGUUGUAGGACACUCUAUACGGAGUUACAAAGGAACGAAGUAAAUGAAGCGACCUGGAAAGGUCCGUCGAAGAAGGUAACAACCCUGUAGUUGAAACUUCGUUCCCUCUUGAGUGGAUCCUGAGUACGGCGGAACACGUGAAAUUCCGUCGGAAGCUGGGAGGACCAUCUCCCAAGGCUAAAUACUACCUAGUGACCGAUAGUGAACCAGUACCGUGAGGGAAAGGUGAAAAGCACCCCGGAAGGGGAGUGAAAGAGAUCCUGAAACCGUGUGCCUACAAGUAGUCAGAGCCCGUUAACGGGUGAUGGCGUGCCUUUUGUAGAAUGAACCGGCGAGUUACGAUCCCAUGCAAGGUUAAGCUGAUAAGGCGGAGCCGUAGCGAAAGCGAGUCUGAAUAGGGCGUUUAGUAUGUGGUUGUAGACCCGAAACCAGGUGAUCUACCCAUGUCCAGGGUGAAGUUCAGGUAACACUGAAUGGAGGCCCGAACCCACGCACGUUGAAAAGUGCGGGGAUGAGGUGUGGGUAGCGGAGAAAUUCCAAUCGAACCUGGAGAUAGCUGGUUCUCUCCGAAAUAGCUUUAGGGCUAGCCUCAUGUUGUGAGAGUCUUGGAGGUAGAGCACUGAUUGGACUAGGGGCCCCCAACGGGUUACCGAAUUCAGUCAAACUCCGAAUGCCAAAGACUUAUCCAUGGGAGUCAGACUGCGAGUGAUAAGAUCCGUAGUCAAAAGGGAAACAGCCCAGACCACCAGCUAAGGUCCCCAAGUAUACGUUAAGUGGAAAAGGAUGUGGAGUUGCUUAGACAACCAGGAUGUUGGCUUAGAAGCAGCCACCAUUUAAAGAGUGCGUAAUAGCUCACUGGUCGAGUGACUCUGCGCCGAAAAUGUACCGGGGCUAAACGUAUCACCGAAGCUGUGGAUUGACAUCUUUGAUGUCAGUGGUAGGAGAGCGUUCUAAGUGCAGCGAAGUCAGACCGUAAGGACUGGUGGAGCGCUUAGAAGUGAGAAUGCCGGUAUGAGUAGCGAAAGACAAGUGAGAAUCUUGUCCACCGAAUGCCUAAGGUUUCCUGAGGAAGGCUCGUCCGCUCAGGGUUAGUCGGGACCUAAGCCGAGGCUGAAAAGCGUAGGCGAUGGCCAACAGGUUGAUAUUCCUGUACCACCUCCCCGCCGUUUGAGUAAUGGGGGGACGCAGUAGGAUAGGGUAAGCGCGCUGCUGGAUAUGCGCGUUCAAGCAGUUAGGCUGAUGAGUAGGCAAAUCCGCUCAUCAUAAAGGCUGAGCUGUGAUGACGAGGGAAUUAUAGUACCGAAGUUCCUGAUUCCACACUGCCAAGAAAAGCCUCUAGCGAGGCGGGAGGUGCCCGUACCGCAAACCGACACAGGUAGGCGAGGAGAGAAUCCUAAGGUGAUCGAGAGAACUCUCGUUAAGGAACUCGGCAAAAUGACCCCGUAACUUCGGGAGAAGGGGUGCUCUGGUAGGGUGUAUAGCCCGAGAGAGCCGCAGUGAAUAGGCCCAGGCGACUGUUUAGCAAAAACACAGGUCUCUGCGAAGCCGCAAGGCGAAGUAUAGGGGCUGACGCCUGCCCGGUGCUGGAAGGUUAAGAGGAGGGGUUAUCCUUUGGGAGAAGCUCUGAAUCGAAGCCCCAGUAAACGGCGGCCGUAACUAUAACGGUCCUAAGGUAGCGAAAUUCCUUGUCGGGUAAGUUCCGACCCGCACGAAAGGCGUAACGAUCUGGGCACUGUCUCAACGAGAGACUCGGUGAAAUUAUAGUACCUGUGAAGAUGCAGGUUACCCGCGACAGGACGGAAAGACCCCGUGGAGCUUUACUGUAGCCUGAUAUUGAAUUUUGGUACAGCUUGUACAGGAUAGGUAGGAGCCUGAGAAGCCGGAGCGCUAGCUUCGGUGGAGGCGUCGGUGGGAUACUACCCUGGCUGUAUUGAAAUUCUAACCCGCGGCCCUGAUCGGGCCGGGAGACAGUGUCAGGUGGGCAGUUUGACUGGGGCGGUCGCCUCCUAAAAUGUAACGGAGGCGCCCAAAGGUUCCCUCAGAAUGGUUGGAAAUCAUUCGUAGAGUGUAAAGGCACAAGGGAGCUUGACUGCGAGACCUACAAGUCGAGCAGGGACGAAAGUCGGGCUUAGUGAUCCGGUGGUUCCGCAUGGAAGGGCCAUCGCUCAACGGAUAAAAGCUACCCCGGGGAUAACAGGCUUAUCUCCCCCAAGAGUCCACAUCGACGGGGAGGUUUGGCACCUCGAUGUCGGCUCAUCGCAUCCUGGGGCUGUAGUCGGUCCCAAGGGUUGGGCUGUUCGCCCAUUAAAGCGGUACGCGAGCUGGGUUCAGAACGUCGUGAGACAGUUCGGUCCCUAUCCGUCGUGGGCGUAGGAAAUUUGAGAGGAGCUGUCCUUAGUACGAGAGGACCGGGAUGGACACACCGCUGGUGUACCAGUUGUCUUGCCAAAGGCAUCGCUGGGUAGCUAUGUGUGGACGGGAUAAGUGCUGAAAGCAUCUAAGCAUGAAGCCCCCCUCAAGAUGAGAUUUCCCAUAGCGCAAGCUAGUAAGAUCCCUGAAAGAUGAUCAGGUUGAUAGGUCAGAGGUGGAAGCGUGGCGACAUGUGUAGCUGACUGAUACUAAUCGAUCGAGGACUUAACC